GUCCUGAUUUAAAAUUUUGUCCAGAUUUAUUUGGAGUUUUAAAAUCUAAGUCAUAUUUUGUACCUAUACAAAACUCAGUGGCCGCAACACCAAUUGCUAUCUUUAUUUUCUCAUUGUAUCCUGUUCUCCCAAUAGCCUUUUGAACAAGGUCCAAGCCAUCUCUUAAGCUUGAGAUGUUGGGAGUAAAACCGCCGUCUUCACCAACAUUACACCCAUGUGCACCAUAUGUCUCUGUAAUAACUGCCUUCAGGUGAUG
rnacentral:misc_RNA from 1 species